GACGAACGCUGGCGGCGUGCUUAACACAUGCAAGUCGAACGGAAAGGCCCUGCUUUUGUUGGGUUCUCGAGUGGCGCAGGGGUGAGUGACACGUGUGUAACCUGCCCUUGUCUUUGUGGUAACUUUAGGAAACUGGGGCGAAUACCCCAUAGAAUAUCUUGCAGCAUAGUGUUGAUUUGAGAGAUUCGGCUGUUGGGUAUCGACUCGAAGCUUAUGAGCUGGUUGGUCGGGUAGUGGCUUACCAGGGUUUUGACGGGUAGCCGACAUGGGAGGGUGAACGGGCUCCUUGGGCCUGCGAUAGGGACCAGAAUCCAACGUGAGGCAACAGGGGGGAAUCUUACGCAAUGGGCGGAAGCCUGAUGCAGAAGCGCCGCGUGCGGGAUGCCGGCCUUCGGGUUGUAAACAGAUUUCGACUGUGCCGAAGAGGGAGUGACGGUACUGGGUAAAGAAGCAACGGCUAACUACGUG
rnacentral:rRNA from 1 species